ensembl:lncRNA
AGAAUCCCAGAGCUUGUGAACAAUGCAUUGCAUUGACAUUUAAACACUGACAAGAAAAGUGAAGAGAUUAAGCAGAAGAAUAGAACUAGACAAGAAGAUAUUGUCACACCGGAACAAUUUGCCUCUUCCUUGGAAAAGAUUACAAAAACCUUGAAUAGGGAGGAGGGAAAGGGCACCGUGAUAAAUGAGAGCACCUAAACCACAUUAGAUCAACUGAUAACAUAGUCAUCUUUGCCAAAAUCCCUGAAGACCUUGAAACACCGAUGAGAGAAUUAAUCAUGAAGAGUAUGGUUUGAGUAAUUAGGAGAGGAAGAGCUGAGCUUGAAGUGAAGCUUGACCCCAAGCCUCCACCCUGUAUUGUAAUCAAGGAUGACCCAAACCUUUGCAGAAGUAUGAGGAAAAGGCAAAGGCACUUUUUUCACCUCAUUAUUUCUCGCUGUAUUUCAUCGUAGCCAAGAGAGAGUGCUAUGGAUAAUCUCAGAGCAGUAACAACUAAAAUAGCACCAGAACAGCAAGACAUUAUGACUUUAACAGCCAGUACUGCAGCCACAGUAAUUAGCCCUGCUUCUCAGCAGUGAGGAAGGGCAUGUUAAUGAGGAUGAGUACAGUGCUGUGCUCAUUCUAUGGAUCUGAUUCCAUGAACCAAGUGAGGCCCUUGCUUUGUGCUGGUCUACCAUGGAGAAAUAGCAGAUCCCAUGACAUUAAGUGAGGUGUAUCUAGCAUAGCAAAAUCUAACACACAGCAAGGCCAACGUGUGCAUAUCCUGGACAGUGCACUGGCCAGCAAGCUGCAGGAAGAGUUGAGCUUGAAGGAGCUUUAUGGUAUCUCAUGCAUUGGAGAACAGAGGAUAAGGUAGGAAGAAGAAUACAGUGUGCCUUCAUGCUGUCAUCUUAUUGUAUACCAAACGUGUCACCCUCAGAGAAAAGAGCCUACAUAGAAGACCUGGAAAAGAUAAGAUGUGGAGAUGCUGAGGGGUACUACACUGAGGCUUUUUCGCCUGUGUGAUGAGUGCAGAGAAUACUCAUGGCCUCAGUCCCUGGCUGUCUGAGCCACAGUACCUCAGGACUGACAGAGGAUCAGGACUCCUAUCCAUGACUGACAGAGAUUCCUAGGGCUUUGUUGUCAGUGAAGGACACGACUUCCCUUGGGACAAACAACUGACAGAAGAAAUAACUUUUCAGUCUGAAUCCAGUAACCUUCUGGCCAGAUUGAAGACGACCUGUUUGGCAGGAUUUUUAAAGAGAGAUUUUCUCUUUGAUUUGCCCACAUCCUCCUGAUGCUGAAGUAUCCAAAAGAGAGGAGAGGAAAGUGAUUGCAGAAGCAAGAUAAACUUGGAACGUAGGAAGCUGCGGUUGAAUUAUUUUAUGGAGGGCUGCUGAAAGAGAGGGUGUAUGGAAGAAAGGAGAGACUGCAGCAGAAAGUGCUUGCAGUUUUCCUUGUGCCUUUGCUGGGAUGCAGGGGACAGCUGACACAGCAGCAGCAGCAGCAGGAAGAGCAAACAAGGAGCAAUCUCAUCCGGUGCUCUGCUCUGCUGCUGCUGUCAGUUUUCGUGCUGACUUAACCUAGCAGGAAAUCCAAGAAAAAUAAGAAUGGAAAAUGGAGAGAAAGCUUCAUCAAGAUGUGCAGAAGGUGCAUGCAUGUAGACCUAGCUGAGGGCGUCAGGAUUUUGGAAGAACAAAAAACAUGGCAAGAGCUGGACGUUGUGAGUACACUGCAAGGUCCUUCAGCUCUGGAGUCUGGACUCAAAACACUCCCACAACCAUGGCUGAGCUCUUGGCUGGGGCUCCUGCUGUCUGAGGAACCCAAGCAGGGAGGUAAGGCUAAAGGCGAGAUCCCGUUACGGCCAUGGCAGAAAACCAAAGCAAAACAGCAGUUAGGACUACAUGAAUGACGACUCCUGUAUCUGCAGGCUGAAUGGCUGUGUGUAUUUUGGGCUCAUUAAAAUGUCUGAGCUAAUUUCUUCUGCUGUGCUAUAGCAAAAUUGCCAUUUUAGAGCAAAAAGCGCUCCCACAGGUGCCUCGUCCAAAAUGCAAGUGUUAAAACAGAAAAGCUAGGCCAAGACUGCAACAGAGGAACGUUUGGGAAAUAGUAACUGGAACAUUCGUUAGUAAUUUUUCUAGGGUCACAAUUUCAGCACUGAGUUCUCUUCUUGCAGAUAAAAUUUAAUGCCUGUAAAUAGUUACACAUUUUUCAUAUAGGUAGUCAUGGUGUUUUCAUUCAUGUUUUUAGUAGCUAAAUACAAAUGUUUGCAACUGCAAAUCUAAGGUCAAACACAUGUACUUUUAUUGGACAUUCAGGUCCAUAUUGCUUUGGUAUAAAUAAUAAUAAA